rnacentral:rRNA from 1 species
GGUUAAGUGACUAAGCGUAUACGGUGGAUGCCUUGGCAGUCAGAGGCGAUGAAGGACGUAGUAACUUGCGAAAAGCGUUGGCGAGCUAGUAACAAGCAUUUGAGCUAACGAUGUCCGAAUGGGGAAACCCGGCCACAUAAGUGGUCAUCAUACAGUGAAUACAUAGCUGUGUGAGGCGAACCUGGGGAACUGAAACAUCUAAGUACCCAGAGGAAAAGAAAUCAACCGAGAUUCCCCUAGUAGCGGCGAGCGAACGGGGAUUAGCCCUUAAGUCUAUGGGGUGUUAGUGGAAUGUGUUGGAAAGCACAGCGGCACAGGGUGAUAGCCCCGUACACGAAAACUAACCAUAGAUGAAAACGAGUAAGGCGGGACACGUGACAUCCUGUUUGAAUAUGGGGGGACCAUCCUCCAAGGCUAAAUACUCCUGACUGACCGAUAGUGAACCAGUACCGUGAGGGAAAGGCGAAAAGAACCCCUGUGAGGGGAGUGAAAUAGAACCUGAAACCGUAUACGUACAAGCAGUGGGAGCGGUUCUUGAGACCGUGACUGCGUACCUUUUGUAUAAUGGGUCAGCGACUUACGUUUUGUAGCGAGGUUAAGCGAAUAGCGGAGCCGUAGGGAAACCGAGUGUUAACUGCGCGUUUAGUUGCAAGGCGUAGACCCGAAACCCGGUGAUCUAGCCAUGGGCAGGUUGAAGGUUGAGUAACAUCAACUGGAGGACCGAACCGACUUAUGUUGAAAAAUGAGCGGAUGACUUGUGGCUGGGGGUGAAAGGCCAAUCAAACCGGGAGAUAUCUGGUUCUCCUCGAAAGCUAUUUAGGUAGCGCCUCGAGCGAAUACCAUUGGGGGUAGAGCACUGUUAAGGCUAGGGGGUCAUCCCGACUUACCAACCCUUUGCAAACUCCGAAUACCAAUGAGUACUACUCGGGAGACAGACGGCGGGUGCUAACGUCCGUCGUCAAAAGGGAAACAACCCAGACCGUCAGCUAAGGUCCCAAAGUGUAUGUUAAGUGGGAAACGAUGUGGGAAGGCUUAGACAGCUAGGAUGUUGGCUUAGAAGCAGCCAUCAUUUAAAGAAAGCGUAAUAGCUCACUAGUCGAGUCGGCCUGCGCGGAAGAUUUAACGGGGCUAAACAUACCACCGAAGCUACGGGUUUGCAGUUUACUGCAAGCGGUAGAGGAGCGUUCUGUAAGCGGUUGAAGGUGAAGGGGUAACCCACACUGGACGUAUCAGAAGUGCGAAUGCUGACAUGAGUAACGAUAAAGGGAGUGAAAAACUCCCUCGCCGAAAGACCAAGGGUUCCUGUCCAACGUUAAUCGGGGCAGGGUGAGUCGACCCCUAAGGUGAGGCCGAAAGGCGUAAUCGAUGGAAAACAGAUUAAUAUUUCUGUACCUCUGCUAACUGCGAUGGAGAGACGGAGAAGGCUAGGCUAGCGCGGCGUUGGUAGUCCGCGUUUAAGGUAGUAGGCGGUGUUCUUAGGCAAAUCCGGGAACACAUUACGCUGAGAGCUGAUGACGAGUCACUAAGGUGAUGAAGUAGUUGAUGCCAUGCUUCCAGGAAAAUCUUCUAAGCUUCAGGUUAGUAGGGAUCGUACCCCAAACCGACACAGGUGGUCGGGUAGAGAAUACCAAGGCGCUUGAGAGAACUCGGCUGAAGGAACUAGGCAAAAUGGUACCGUAACUUCGGGAGAAGGUACGCUGCUGUUGGUGAUGGGACUUGCUCCCUAAGCUGACGGCAGUCGCAGAUACCAGGUGGCUGCAACUGUUUAUCAAAAACACAGCACUGUGCAAAAUCGCAAGAUGACGUAUACGGUGUGACGCCUGCCCGGUGCUUGAAGGUUAAUUGAUUGGGUUAUCGCAAGAGAAGCUCAUGAUCGAAGCCCAAGUAAACGGCGGCCGUAACUAUAACGGUCCUAAGGUAGCGAAAUUCCUUGUCGGGUAAGUUCCGACCUGCACGAAUGGCGUAAUGAUGGCCACGCUGUCUCCAGCCGAGACUCAGUGAAGUUGAAAUUGCGGUGAAGAUGCCGUAUACCCGCGGCUAGACGGAAAGACCCCGUGAACCUUUACUAUAGCUUGGCACUGAACAUUGAACCUACAUGUGUAGGAUAGGUGGGAGACUUUGAAGCUUG